GACCCGACUGCUAUUUGGGUGAGGAUAAGCCAUGCGAGUUGAAUGGGAUACCCAAAGUUCCCAUGGCAAACUGCUCAGUAACACAUGAUCAACUUACCCUAUAGAGGAAAAUAACCUCGGGAAACUGAGGAUAAUAUUCCAUAAUUGAAUCGGCUUGGAAAAGUUUUUCAAUAAAAGGGAUAAGGAAAUGGUUCUUAUCUGCUAUAGGAUAGGAUCGUGCUCGAUUAUGGUUGUCGGUGAGGUAAAGGCUCACCAAGCCGAUAAUCGAUAGGGGCCGUGAGAGCGGGAGCCCCGAGAUGGGUACUGAGACAACGACCCAGGCCUUACGGGGCGCAGCAGGCGCGAAACCUCCGCAAUACACGAAAGUGUGACGGGGUUACCCAAAGUGUUCUAUUUAGAACUGUGGUAGGUGAGUAAUGUCCCCUACUAGAAAGGAGAGGGCAAGGCUGGUGCCAGCCGCCGCGGUAAAACCAGCUCUUCAAGUGGUCGGGAUAAUUAUUGGGCUUAAAGUGUCCGUAGCCGGUUUAGUAAGUUCCUGGUAAAAUCGGGUAGCUUAACUAUCUAUAUGCUAGGAAUACUGCUAUACUAGAGGGCGGGAGAGGUCUGAGGUACUACAGGGGUAGGGGUGAAAUCUUAUAAUCCUUGUAGGACCACCAGUGGCGAAGGCGUCAGACUGGAACGCGCCUGACGGUGAGGGACGAAAGCCAGGGGAGCGAACCGGAUUAGAUACCCGGGUAGUCCUGGCCGUAAACGAUGCAUACUANGUGAUGGCACGGCCAUGAGCCGUGUCAGUGCCGUNNGGAAACCGUUAAGUGUGCCGCCUGGGAAGUANGGUCGCAAGGCUAAAACUUAA
rnacentral:rRNA from 1 species